GUCUGGUCCAUUCCGAAGUAAUACAUUCAUAAAGUAAAAGUCUGGUCCAUUCCGAAGUAAAACAUUCAUAAAGUAAAGGUCUGGUCCAUUCCGAAGUAAAACAUUCAUAAAGUAAAGGUCUGGUCCAUUCCGAAGUAAAACAUUCAUAAAGUAAAGGUCUGGUCCAUUCCGAAGUAAAACAUUCAUAAAGUAAAGGUCUGGUCCAUUCCGAAGUAAUACAUUCGUAAAGUAAAGGUCUGGUCCAUUCCGAAGUAAUACAUUCGUAAAGUAAAGGUCUGGUCCAUUCCGAAGUAAAACAUUCAUAAAGUAAAGGUCUGGUCCAUUCCGAAGUAAUACAUUGAUAAAGUAAAGGUCUGGUCCAUUCCGAAGUAAAACAUUCAUAAAGUAAAGGUCUGGUCCAUUCCGAAGUAAUACAUUCGUAAAGUAAAGGUCUGGUCCAUUCCGAAGUAAUACAUUCGUAAAGUAAAG
ensembl:lncRNA